AAUUCCGAGGUUAAUUAAAAUUAAGGAGUCGCCACCUAAUUAUCAUGGUGAAUUAGGACACCUAAAGUUAGUUAAAGUCAUUGUUUAAAGUUAACUCCAUUUAUGAUCUACUAAACUUAUGAGAUUCUAGAUAAAAGUUCAAUUAAUCUAAAGGGAAGGUAUUAAGCAUCCUUUAAAAUCCAUUAAUAAUGGUUAACCGACCGGACUUAGAGUUGAUUAAAAAGGCUAAAAGCUCAAUGUGAAACAUUUUAUAAGCCAUGAUAAGAAGUAGUCUGAAGAUAUGUUUAUAAAAUAUAAUACAGAGUAUAAGUUGGCAAAAGUAUAAUGUUUAGGAAAGCACAUUUGAUUUUUCUUUUUUGCAAAAAAAAUGAUUUCAAUUUGGCAGAAAGUUUGCACCCCAAUGAAAAUAGUCACGAACUAAUGUCAUUUGGCUCGAGCUCUAGUUCAAAGUUAAAACCUUUCCAAAUUCUAACAUUUAAAAAUGAGUUUGUCAUUUGACUUCCAAAAAUGCUACUGACAUUUGCAAAAUCAGAAGCUCCUCUUACGAAAGUUAAAAAUAAUUGUUUAUUAACUAAAGUUAAAAUCCUAAGUAGUAUUCUGUUUUCAUAAGACUAAACUCACCACCCAAAUAAACAGAGGUAAUUUAAUCACACAAGUAAUAACAUAUAAAAGGCAAGAGGGAGAUAAAAUAAACGAGCUUGAAUUCGACUUCUGCGAAAGGCUGAAAUUCUCUCGACGCAGCUGUUUAACAAAAUGGGAAUAAGAGAAGAUGAUGGAUGACUUUAUGCAGCAGCAGCGUCGUUGAGUCUCGAAGGUCAAAUAUUACCUCUUGUGGGUGCAGCGAACUGAGCCGUCGGGGCCUCGAAUCUACUCUCUUGUCAUGAACAGAUCCGAACCUCGACACAAAUGAGUUCGGAAAACUCUGUUGCGGCUAAAGUCCGUCGUAACAGAAUGAAAGUUUAAACACUUCUAAGGUUUAGAGUAGUGGUCGAAGAAAAUGUUUGAGUGUAUUAAAGUUUCUAGGUUGCUCAGAAAAAAAA